rnacentral:rRNA from 1 species
GCUGGCGGCGUGCCUAAUACAUGCAAGUCGAGCGAACAGAGAAGGAGCUUGCUCCUUCGACGUUAGCGGCGGACGGGUGAGUAACACGUGGGCAACCUACCUUAUAGUUUGGGAUAACUCCGGGAAACCGGGGCUAAUACCGAAUAAUCUGUUUCACCUCAUGGUGAAACACUGAAAGACGGUUUCGGCUGUCGCUAUAGGAUGGGCCCGCGGCGCAUUAGCUAGUUGGUGAGGUAACGGCUCACCAAGGCGACGAUGCGUAGCCGACCUGAGAGGGUGAUCGGCCACACUGGGACUGAGACACGGCCCAGACUCCUACGGGAGGCAGCAGUAGGGAAUCUUCCACAAUGGGCGAAAGCCUGAUGGAGCAACGCCGCGUGAGUGAAGAAGGAUUUCGGUUCGUAAAACUCUGUUGUAAGGGAAGAACAAGUACAGUAGUAACUGGCUGUACCUUGACGGUACCUUAUUAGAAAGCCACGGCUAACUACGUGCCAGCAGCCGCGGUAAUAC